CACAGCAGCCAUAUCACCCUGCAACUCACAACUGGCAACCCACUGAAGCUAAGCAGGUGUGAGCCUGGUCAGUACCUGGAUGGGAAACCUCCGGGAAAAAACUAAGGUUGCUGCUGGAA
rnacentral:rRNA from 1 species